rnacentral:rRNA from 1 species
UACAGAGGUGGCAAGCGUUGUUCGGAAUUACUGGGCGUAAAGGGCGCGUAGGCGGCCAUCUAAGUCAGACGUGAAAUCCCCCGGCUUAACCUGGGAACUGCCUGUCAGACUGCAUUGCUUGAGUCCGGGAGAGGUGAGUGGAAUUCCCGAGUGUAGCGGUGAAAUGCGUAGAUAUUGGGGAGGAACACCCGGUGGCGAAGGGCGGCUCACUGGCCUCGUAUCUGACGCUGCAGGCGCGACAGCGUGGGGAUCAAACAGG